GGGUAGAUUUAAUUCAUUUGACCCAAAACGUUUUACAAAGAGAGAGAGAGAGAGAGAGAGAGAGAGAGAGAUAUGGUUCAAGUUAUGUAGAAGUAGAGCUAAGGAAAAGCAAGGGAAAACGAAGAAAGGAGAAGAGACUCAAGAAAUUCAAUCAUUGAAGACCUAAGGGUCAACUAUAAGGGUGAACCAGGCAUCUGAACAUUGUGCUGAUGAUAUGCCUCCACCGAGGACAUAGCUUGGGAGGACUUGGAGUCGAGAGCUUCUUUUUAUUUCUUUUUGUGUAAGUAAUUUUGUACAAGUCUUGGGCUUUCAAUGUAUUGAGUUUGACUCAUUUUUGUUGUACCCAAGUAUUGGCUUGGAAAGAUCUAGCAAUUAGGGCAUAAACUUAUUUGUACUUCCUUUUAUUACAAUUCAUUUACACAUGUCAUAUGUGAUAGAUUCAGGAUCUAGGGUUUAUGAAUGUAUGUAUAUGCAUAUGUCAUCUUUUGUACACUGAAAUAGAAUCAAUGAAAGGUUAAUAUUAUGUAAA